UUAAAGUGAUGGGAAGGCUUUGGAGGCCUGAGGGAAGCUGGGGUGUCCUGUGGGAAUGGUAGUCUUAUGGUAGAGCCAGGGCAGGUGCAGGCCUCGGCACACCACCCUUGCUAUGCGCCCGUACCCUCCACCCUAUUAUCACGCUGAGUCCUGCUCAGCCAUUGGUUGGUGCUGCACAGAGCCCCUCCCGCGAGCGACCAACCGUCCCUGUGAGACCGGUACUGGUCCUGCUCACCCAUUGGUUGACACCACAGUGGGCCCCGCCCACAAACAACCAACUGUCAAGGAAUGACCCUUAGUGAGGGGAUUUAGUCAGCGGAGUGGUGGUCUUCGGGUGGAGAGUGAGGGCUCCAGAACCCUCGCCAAAGCCUCCCACUGACUGGACUCAGACUCGAGGCGAUGGUGAACCUCCCCCUCAUCCCAUCUCUUCGACCUGAUGGCGGCAGCCUGGGGGACCUGGUCCCUAUCACAUGGGCGGCCUGAGGAGCCUGAGGCUCCUGACUCCGGUUGGGUCCUGGGCGCCUGGCUCCCUCAGCGAUGACAGCUGGGCAGGGUCUGGGAACCUGGCGCUGAGGAAGCCACCAGCUGAGACCUGCCUCCUCUUAGCCAGGAGGACGACCUCUGAGGGGAAAGUUGUGCCUCGCUCGGGACCUCACCCUUUCUGGUCAGGACAGAAAAUAACAUUUGUUAAGAGAUUUACAGAAACAUCAUUACCAGACUACAAGAGGACCUCUAGAACAAAGGAUCUGGAACCAAAAAGUUUACAACCAACCAUGCUCCUCCCUCACCUUUCCUGGCAAAGGGCUUUGCUGAAACCUUUUGUGGAGUUUGGGGUUUUUAAGGCAUGCCACCUGUCUGUUUUCAUGGCCCUCAAUAAACCUGUCUCUGCUCCAAACUGCAA